rnacentral:lncRNA from 1 species
CACACAAAAAAGCUGAAAAAUUAGUCCAAAAAUUAAAUUCCAACCUAGUCAACUCCAUAUCUAGGAAUCUUCCUUGUUUUUUCCUUUAAAGGUCACCAUUCACAGUUACUGUUCAUGGAUGCAGGGGUGAGGAUGACUGUAUUUAGUUGCAAUCGUUUAAAUUUAUGCUCUUCAUAAAAGCAAGUGUCUUACUCUGACAAGGGUUGUAACCCUCAUGCAUUUCCUACAGCUGUAGCUGAAUUGGAACUAUUAGGUCCUAUUCACUUACACCUUCUCAGAGAAGAUUCCAUUUCCCAAUUAUUGGACCAUUGAGUCAAAUAAAAGCAAAUGUUGUUAAAGAAAACAACAUGAAAAGAGUCUUUCAAUAUCUAAAGAAAGCUGGGGAUUGAUCGAAACUAAGUAGUUGAAAAUGCAUCUCUAUCCAUGACUUGAACCACAAAGGUGGUGGGGGGCAGGGUAAAGGAAAGAGGGGAAGGAACUUAGAGCAGGGGCAAGAACGAGAGAAAAUUUAUUGAAGUAAAGAAAGAGAAUUGGUAUCUGGAAUUUCCUCUGCAAUUUAGGGCUGUCAGACCAGUGUCUUGCACAUCUUCCCAGAUUGAACACAUCGCUAUUAUGGAAGCAGAACUCUAUUCUAGGAUAGAUUAAAGAGCUAAUAGGUGAAACCAGCUGCAGGGAGCAUCUGGUUUUUGUUGUUGUUGUUGUUGUUUGUUUUUUUAUUUCAGAGCAGGAGUCCUUGCAGAACUAGAAAAAUACAGAUUCCAGAGUUCUCAGGAGGUUGCAGCCUAGGAGGGCAUUUUCACAACCUUCCAAUCUUUAAAGCGCUCUAAGCUCAAUGAAUCCCCAUGAAUCCUUCCAACACGUGACUUGCCAUAACAACUUUACCUUCCAAAAUAUUACUGGGGUGAAAAGACCUGGAGCACAGCUUCGCUUUUACCCAAGAUUGGGAGCAACAACCCGGGACUCUUUCUUCUCUGCAGCUUCAUUCUCUAGCACAUGCUCCCAUAACAAGAGUGAAACAGAGAAAAGACUGGAGGCCACAGGGAUGGAGAGAAGGGAUAGCAGUUCUGUGGCAGCCCAGCUGGAGGGAGUCUUCCCUUCCUUCUUCAAGGAGAAUGUACUCUAUGUAGAGUGA